AUGCACCUGUUAAGAGAGGAAGAGGAAAAAAAGGAGAGCGGUUGAAGCUGUCCUUUAAGGUUAUUGUCACUUCGAAGACUGAAGGGGUGUGCAGGAGAGAGUUCCAGUCUAUAAUUUGGCCGCUAGACAUUUCCAAAGUUUAGGAGCAACAACCCCAAAUGCACAGUCUCAUUUAGUUUUAACUUUGAAUGAUCUGAAACGUUCAUAAAACCUUGAUUGAAGAACCUCAGAGUCCUGCAGGAGUUAUAUGGCUUCAGGCAGUUUUAAAGACUUGCCGCUUUAACAGGUGAACAGAGAAUUACAAUAAUCUAACCAAGAUGAAACAAAAGCACGGGCAAUCAUUUCAUACUUAGCCUUGGACACAAGGGGCCAGAGUGUCACAUUAUUUCUGAAAUGGUAAAAAGAGGAGAAAACCAAAAAUUUACAUGCAGAUCCACAGUCAAAGCCCGACUCAUUUGGAUGUUAAGAUUUCAGAGGGCAGGAUUUACAGCAGAGGAUAGGUCACCAAGAAUUUUAAACACAUCAGGCACAGCUGAACCUCUUUUUUCAUCAAUGUUUAGCUAAAGGGAAUGAUCUGCUAUCUUUAGCUUGAAUACAGUUCAUAGAGUCAAGUAAAAAAGACAAUUAAGAGGCAUUAUCAGGUUUAAAAGCUGAAAGUAGAGAAAUAAAAGUCUGUACAAGAUGAUCCAGUGUGAGCAGGAAUGAAGAAAUAACAGAGGACCCAGGACAGAACCCUGAGGGACCCCACAAAACAAAGUCUUUACUGAUGAGACGUAUUCAGAAACAGUGACUGAAAAUAUUCAAUUAAGAGGAAAAUCAGAAUUUAAACCCCCACUGUCUGAGCCACUGAAUUAACAAACUGUAUACAGUAUCAAAGGUGACAUUGGGGUCCAACAUUCGCGAAUCAUUCUUUACCCCGAGAAGAGCAGUUUCUGUAAAAUACUUCUGAGAGAAGCCAGACUCAAAUAAAUACAUGGGUUAGUUUGCGAAUUAGGUCUGUCUUGCAGACAUGUUUCUAGUCCGAGUGGAAGUGUCUCCAGUUGAUUUGGCGGCCUUGUUUGUCCUCUGAUGUUGGGGUGCAUUGGUGCGCUGGGUUGUUUUGUCGGUGGCAGGUUGUCGGCGUCCCCAGCGUGAGUGCGCUGGUUGGUGGGUGUUGGUCUGCCAGCUUGAUGUUUGCCAGUUUGCUGGGUGACCGACUGCUUGGCUGGAUGGCUGAAUGAUUGGACAGCUGGUCUCGGCGUUAGAAGUAAUCAAGGAGAGAGAGAGAGGGACGGUUGACAGAGAGAGAGAGAGAGAGAGAGAGAGAGAGAGAGAGAGAGAGAGAGAGAGAGAGAGAGAGAGAGAGAGAUGCCUAAAAUGUUCAUGAUUGCAGUGAUGCGCUUUGACAUGUGGAACACUAAGUGUAUUAAUCCAGAGCACUGCAGCCCUGUCACCAUGCAUCUGUCUCCUCCACUGACACUGGCUCUGUGAGCGGCGAGUGUGUGUUUGUGAGACUAUGUGUGAAAAGUGCUUUUGUACAAGUGUGUGCACAGAUCUGCCAGCGUGCGUUAACACAUGCGUACUUGUGUGUUUGUAUGUGUGAAAUGAUCUGAAAUCAGUUCCACCACUGCUCCGAGUUUGUAAUGCACACCGUGUUCCUUCUCUGUGCAAUCUCAAAAAAUGAAACCGGCACAUUUUCUCACCCACUGACAAACACCACACACACACACACACACACACACACACACACACACACACACACACACACACACACACACACACACAGCUCCCUCUGCUCCUCUCCGCAUGAGUCAUUCGCUGUAAAGAACGCAUUUUUCUGAUACAUUUGCUAAUUUCUUGUGAUCCUGAGGCACCCUGCUUUUAUUUGCAUCUGUGCGUUCAAAGAUUGAUCUACAUAAAGAGUCAGGAGACAAAAAAUGAUGCUACAUGAGACCUGAGAGCAUGCAGCCUCUUUUUUAGAUAAUCAUUGGAAAUGAUAAAACAAGAAAAAUGAAUAAAGACUUGAGAAUCAGUAUUUUCAUGCAAAUCAAGUCAAAUGUAUUCCUUCAGCACAUUUUGAGGAAUAAGAGCUGAUUUGCAGAGGUAGGCUUGGGACGAAAUGUGUGGUUAGAGAGGGAACUGAAAACAUGAAUAGAGUCUUAAAAGCCUUUGCAGUUUUUGUAAUUUGAGUAUUUUCAGAAGACUAAGUCAAAUUUUAGCCUCUGGAAGAGUUUUGAUGACUUGUUGGUGUGGCGUUUCCUACAUAAACGGGGAUAAACUGGUGUUAGUGUGAAACAAACCUCCAGAACAUAUGAGGAAGUGACAAAUUAUAAACAAAGGAGUUAAAAAUUAGCAGAAAAUUACCUCAAAACUGAACGAGGAAUUAAGACCAAACCCAUGAGCUGUUUGUGAGCAGCACUUGCAUGCAGAUGUGAGUUGAUAUAUAGAUUAAUUACAGAUUAAUCAGCGUCAGAUGGCAGUUGAUGGGAUCCUGGUUUCAUAAUGCCAGAUUGUGUGUCGUGGUUGUCAUCUCUUUGCUCUCCACAGAGGCUCGUUACACACAAACAAUCACAGCCAACUGAAUUACUUGAACUUGGAUGUCGAAACUAGAACACCUCUCACACCAGAAAUCAGCGCCUUUGCAUCAUCUCAAGAGUUUUACAUCAUGUUUUCAAAGGGAUGAUAAGGGGUCAGCUGUUGCAGGGCUGCAAAAAGAGAGGGUAGUUGCAAAAGAUGGAAAAGUCCCUGUGAACUGGUAUUAAGUA